rfam:Kyrpidia tusciae DSM 2912, complete genome.
CCGCGCUAGGCGGGGAGGUAGCGGUGCCCUGAACCCGCAAUCCGCUAGAGCGGGGUUGAAGGCUUGUCGUGAGGUGUGCGUCAUGGAGGGCCGGCACCGGCCUCGGAGCGUCGACGACCGGGUCCUGCGCGGCGGGUCCUUCCGAACCGUGUCAGGUCCUGACGGAAGCAGCACUAAGGAAGAUCGCCCGGGUGCCGCAGGGUAGCCUGGUCCGAGCCACCCGCCGGUGAUACGCCUCGGUGCGCACAUCGAAGACAAGGGCGCGG